AUACGGAGGGCGCAAGCGUUGUUCGGAAUUACUGGGCGUAAAGCGCGUGUAGGCGGUUCGGAAAGUCGGGUGUGAAAUCCCCGGGCCUAACCCGGGAACUGCAUCCGAAACUUCCUAACUGGAGUCCCGGAGAGGAAGGCAGAAUUCCCAGUGUAGGGGUGAAAUCCGUAGAUAUUGGGAGGAAUACCAGUGGCGAAGGCGGCCUUCUGGACGGUGACUGACGCUGAGACGCGAAAGCGUGGGGAGCAAACAGGAUUAGAAACCCCGGUAGUCC
rnacentral:rRNA from 1 species